UGCGUAGGCGGAUUUAUAAGUCAGUGGUGAAAUCCUACAGCUUAACUGUAGAACUGCCAUUGAUACUGUAGAUCUUGAGUACGGUUGAGGUGGGCGGAAUGCGUCAUGUAGCGGUGAAAUGCUUAGAUAUGACACAGAACACCAAUUGCGAAGGCAGCUCGCUAAACCGUAACUGACGCUGAGGCACGAAAGCGUGGGGAGCGAACAGGAUUAGAUACCCUGGUAGUCC
rnacentral:rRNA from 1 species